rnacentral:rRNA from 1 species
UAACGUCCGUCGUGAAGAGGGAAACAACCCAGACCGCCAGCUAAGGUCCCAAAGUCAUGGUUAAGUGGGAAACGAUGUGGGAAGGCCCAGACAGCCAGGAUGUUGGCUUAGAAGCAGCCAUCAUUUAAAGAAAGCGUAAUAGCUCACUGGUCGAGUCGGCCUGCGCGGAAGAUGUAACGGGGCUAAACCAUGCACCGAAGCUGCGGCAGCGAACGUAUCACUUAAAGCGAUUCAGCGGGUUACGAUUGACGGAGCGAAGCGACGUCAAAGCGUAUAGAAAGUCGAGUCGGUUUAAGGAUACGUUCGUUGGGUAGGGGAGCGUUCUGUAAGCCUGUGAAGGUGUGUCGUGAGGCAUGCUGGAGGUAUCAGAAGUGCGAAUGCUGACAUAAGUAACGAUAAUGCGGGUGAAAAACCCGCUCGCCGGAAGACCAAGGGUUCCUGUCCAACGUUAAUCGGGGCAGGGUGAGUCGACCCCUAAGGCGAGGCCGAAAGGCGUAGUCGAUGGGAAACAGGUUAAUAUUCCUGUACUCGGUGUUACUGCGAAGGGGGGACGGAGAAGGCUAUGUUGGCCGGGCGACGGUUGUCCCGGUUUAAGCGUGUAGGUGUGUGGACCAGGCAAAUCCGGUUCACUUUAACACUGAGGCGUGAUGACGAGGCACUACGGUGCUGAAGCAACAAAUGCCCUGCUUCCAGGAAAAGCCUCUAAGCAUCAGGUAACAUCAAAUCGUACCCCAAACCGACACAGGUGGUCAGGUAGAGAAUACCAAGGCGCUUGAGAGAACUCGGGUGAAGGAACUAGGCAAAAUGGUGCCGUAACUUCGGGAGAAGGCACGCUGAUGGUAGGUGAAGUGAUUUACUCAUGGAGCUGAA